UACGGGGUAGGGGCAAGCGUUGUUCGGAAUUACUGGGCGUAAAGGGCUCGUAGGUUGCCAACUAAGUCAGACGUGAAAUCCCUCGGCUUAACCGGGGGAACUGCGUCUGAUACUGGAUGGCUUGAGUUCGGGAGAGGGAUGCGGAAUUCCAGGUGUAGCGGUGAAAUGCGUAGAUAUCUGGAGGAACACCGGUGGCGAAGGCGGCAUCCUGGACCGACACUGACACUGAGGAGCGAAAGCCAGGGGAGCAAACGGGGAUUAGAAAACCCUU
rnacentral:rRNA from 1 species